GGCUUCACCAUCGCAGCCACGGAGGGUCAGAAAAACAACUGAACUUCAACAUUCUCUGUUGCAGCAUGUUGUUGAAUAUGCUGUUUAAUGUGUAUAUGCAGCUUAGUUGUGGUGCUUGUUUUUUUUCUUCACUUUAUUCUGUUAGCAGGGAGUCCUGCUCUGACCUACAAAAGUAGGACUCAAUCUAAUGGAGAAUACCGGUAGUACUGGUAGAUUCCCUGUUUAGGUUCUGGAAGGAUAUAAGCUAAUCUCUCAUCCUUUCAGACCAGCAGAUCUUUGCCUGGGGAAAAGCAGGAAACGGAUGCCUGGGAAUGCUUUACCACAACCCAUUUUAGGCUCCCUCCACCAUGUGCCAGACCUCUUCUGUCGCGGCUGGCACACCAUUCUCAUCAUGGGUUAGCCACUAACUUCUGUUCUAACACCAGCUAAUAAUUUAUUGAAAAAUACAGUUGAGAUUGAUUAUGUUCCCUGUUUACAGAAAAGGUUCUCAACUCUAAAACUAUCUGCUCAAACAGCAGUGGACUUUUAAUUGGCAGUGGUAAGAUGGCCAUGGUCUCUCUGGUUACUUUAUCAUUACAUUCACAAUCUGAACAGGUCAAUAGUUUUAUACCAGUGUGGUACUGUACUGACCACAUGGUGUGUCCUGGUGUUUGUCGGUUCACACUAAGGCCUGGGCCAGGCCUCUACCUCCACUGUGGAUCUGGAGUGAGCCAGGCUCAGACAGGGCUACAUGAAGGGCGAUUGGGGGGCACUAAGGAGGAUGACAGACGAGCGACACAUCAAGACCUCCAUAACGUCUCUGACGAACCAGACUGCCGACAGCUCUUGCCCCAUCUGGCUGCGCCAGACCACUCGUAUGGGCUGUGACGGGGUCAACGGGUUGGAGGAGGCAGGAGCCUGUAGAAGGGGAGGCACCAACUUGCUACAGAGCAAGCAAUGAGGUAGCAGAGUUAAGUGACCAGCUCAAAGAGAACGAGAGACUCUGGACAGCAAUCAACCAUCUGACCCUGCGCAAAGCAGGAACUGAAAAGAACAGCAACCACCAAUCCGAUCACAGGCCUGUGGCAGGACAAGGAGGAGCCUCCAACCAUGAUCGGGACAGAUCUGCUGGGGCAAAUCCGUGAGCAAAAACUGUCCUAUCCAAUGAGUGGCGGUGACCCUGUGCAAAAAUAGUAUUAUAUUUGAGAUUCUCCAAAGUAGCCACCCUUUGCCUUAAUGACAGCUUUGCACACUUUAUACACCUGUCAGCACUGGGUGUAGCUGAAAUAGCCAAAUCCACUAAUUUGAAGGGGUGUAUUUCAAGUACUUAUUUUUUGCUAAUUUCCUUUCGAAAGCCCUGAGCCCUAUUCUUCAUAUGUGAUGCUGUAAAAAAAAAAAAAAGCCUAAAUACUAUUUCAAAUAGUCAAAGGUAUACCAAAUAUUGUCUCUCUUACAUCUAAUUUACCAAAUAAGUAUUUAGUGUUAACAUUUAAGUAUUUACAAUCUUGUGUAUUUCAUAUGAUGAUCAGCUUGCUAUUCUGUAUCUGGAAAAAAUAGUGUAUGAGGUUCACUUUUACAUAACUCAAACUACUGAUUCAAUAUAGACAAUCACUUUUAUUGCCUUAAGAUAACCUUGAAUUUGUUUAAACUAGUAUUUAAGUGGAGGAAAUGGUCAUUUUAUGGUUAAUCUUCCUUCUGUAAAAUGUAAUGUCAUGAGUACAGUUCUCUUCCUAGAAUGUAGAAAAGCUCGUUUUUGUAAAGUUAAUGGUAAUAUUUUGUUUUUUCUAUUAAAUGUUUUCUCAACUGUUGCUUUUUCAGGUUUAUAUUGUCUUUGUGUUCCUCCUGUUUUUGAGUAUUGAUUCAUCCUUUUGACUAUUUGUGAAAAGUGUAAUAUUCACAUUGUGUAUUUGUUUACUCUGGGUGGUGUGUGUACAGUAUGUGUGUGUUUUAACACCAACAGCUUGCAACUCUUGGUUGGUGUGCAGUUAAUUGAUACAAUACACAACACUGGUGGAAUUUCCUUUAUCAGUGCAAGAGAAAAGUGUCCUUAUUCCUUAGUGCUUUUGCAUACUCUUAAACCAAAUUGUGUUGUGAUGACUAGUGCACAAAUAAAAAGAAUAGGCUAUGCUUU